AUUAAAUAGCCCGCGAAGGGGAAAAAAAUCCAAGUGGAAAAUUUUACUAUAAGUUUGUCAACUGUCGAAGAGACAAAAGACAUUUUCUUCCCUCACCUUGCAUCAACGACAGUGCAUUAAAUACCAUCUCGUCUGAAGUAAAUGAAUUAGAUGAUUCAGUUAUAAAUGCAUUGCAAACGUCACUUAGCAGAGAAAGCGCGAAUUGGAAUGAAGUUUGUGACAAGUGGUCAAAAACAUUCCAAGCCAGACAGUACGAUCUGAGGAGCUUAACAAACAUCGACUUUUUAAAAGCAUGGCCCAAACUAUCAGAUUCAAGAGCACCUGAACUGAUCAAAAUAGAUUUCAAUCUCCUGUAUCCAUCGAAGCAAGACUUGUUGUAUUCAAAAUGGGAGCACUUCAAAUUAAGCAUUGUGCGCUUUUACGAAACUCGCAUAAGUAAUGAAAAUUGCAAACAAAUGUUUUUAUUGGCAAAGUCCUUAAAACACAUAGACACUCAGGAUUGCCUAAUUUCGACAUUGCUAAUUUCAGUACUGCAAACCGCUUCAAGAUUUGUUAACACUACGGGAAAAUUACUAUUGUCGAUGCACAGGAGAGCUUCAUAUUGCGUUUAGAAUCAGUAAAUGACUAUCAAAGAAGAGUUGACGAAAUCAUUUGCAAGUAUUAUUCAGCUAAAACAACGAUUCAGCCAUUUUUAAUAGUAGUAGGACCUGAAAAUGAGCUUAAAGAUUUUUUUAUUUAUUUUGACAAUACGUUAUACAAAUUCAACUCAUUUAUUGAGAGCUUAGACUUGUGCUUUAAAAUAUUUCAUGUUUUUUCCUUAAAAUAUUCUCAAGGAUGUGAAUUAGUGUGGGUCUUUAUACAAAACUACUUUUAUGACAUAACAACACAGUUCGAUUCCAAAUCAUCGAAUAUAGUUUCACUUAUAAACUUUUUA